GCGAGGAUGGCGGAACUGGCAGACGCGCUGGUCUUAGAAGCCAGUGGGUAACCGUGGGGGUUCAAGUCCCCCUCCUCGCA
rnacentral:tRNA from 1 species